CGAGCGAACAGACGAGGAGCUUGCUCCUCUGACGUUGGCGGCGGACGGGUGAGUAACACGUGGAUAACCUACCUAUAAGACUGGGAUAACUUCGGGAAACCGGAGCUAAUACCGGAUAAUAUAUUGAACCGCAUGGUUCAAUAGUGAAAGACGGUUUUGCUGUCACUUAUAGAUGGAUCCGCGCCGCAUUAGCUAGUUGGUAAGGUAACGGCUUACCAAGGCAACGAUGCGUAGCCGACCUGAGAGGGUGAUCGGCCACACUGGAACUGAGACACGGUCCAGACUCCUACGGGAGGCAGCAGUAGGGAAUCUUCCGCAAUGGGCGAAAGCCUGACGGAGCAACGCCGCGUGAGUGAUGAAGGUCUUCGGAUCGUAAAACUCUGUUAUUAGGGAAGAACAAAUGUGUAAGUAACUAUGCACGUCUUGACGGUACCUAAUCAGAAAGCCACGGCUAACUACGUGCCAGCAGCCGCGGUAAUACGUAGGUGGCAAGCGUUAUCCGGAAUUAUUGGGCGUAAAGCGCGCGUAGGCGGUUUUUUAAGUCUGAUGUGAAAGCCCACGGCUCAACCGUGGAGGGUCAUUGGAAACUGGAAAACUUGAGUGCAGAAGAGGAAAGUGGAAUUCCAUGUGUAGCGGUGAAAUGCGCAGAGAUAUGGAGGAACACCAGUGGCGAAGGCGACUUUCUGGUCUGUAACUGACGCUGAUGUGCGAAAGCGUGGGGAUCAAACAGGAUUAGAUACCCUGGUAGUCCACGCCGUAUACGAUGAGUGCUAAGUGUUAGGGGGUUUCCGCCCCUUAGUGCUGCAGCUAACGCAUUAAUCACUCCGCCUGGCGAGUACUACCGCNNNGCUGANNCUCCNAGGCAUUGACGGCGACCCGCNNNAGNGGUGGNGCAUGUGNUUUAAUUCGCAGCAACUCCANNAAACUUAUCCAGUCUUGACAUCCUCUGACCCCUCUAGNGAUAGAGUUUGCCCCUUCGUGGGACAGAGUGUNUGAUGAGCAUNGUUGUCGUCAGCUCUAGUCCUGACACGUUUGGUUCAUNNCCCAGCAACAANNGUNUACCNNUACGCAUAACUUGCCAUCAUUAAGUUGGGG
rnacentral:rRNA from 1 species